GCUGGCAGAGACUUCUCUGAUGAGAAAAUGAUAAGUGUUUUCAAAUGCUGUUCUGGUUAAAAGAAAGCUGAUCCAAGGACUCUACUGCAAAUCAUCUCUUUGGGGUGUUGACUGUCAAGAAAGGUAUUUUUCUGUGCCUUCCUUGCCCUGCCUCUCAGAUGACACCUGUUUCCUGGUGGCAUUUCUUCUAACUUGAGUUAGAUUCACAAUUUCUCAAGCUGCUGGAAGGAUCCUACGAUCAACUUUUCCUGGGGAGACAUGAACAAAUGCCUACUCACUCCAGAUUGGGCACCAUCAAGAAACCAAAUGAAUGACUGUACCCAAGUCUAGCUUAGUGAAGCAAUGCAUUUUUUUGCACUUGUUCCCAGGAAUAUGGAGUUAGUGAGCACCUUGCAGACACACAGGAUGUACUUCUCCAAGAUGGUGCAAUGGAGCAGAAACAGCUCAUGUCCCUAAUAAGAAGCCACGAGGGACCUCAUUGCUUAUUGAAGAGUCUUGCAGCAUACUUUGUUCGUUGGUCUUUUCUUAAUGGUUGGCUAUUUCUCCUCCAAUUCAAGAACAUUGCAACUAUUAGGUACCAUUCAGAGUCAAUGCGGACCUGAACACACAACUGGCCACGGAGGGAGGCCCUUCAUAAACAGAUCUUGCUGAGUUUAAUCAGAAUCUGCCUCAUGCACAUAGACACAGAUCCUCUUAGAGAUGAAAAGAUCUUUAAGGUGGGACCCUGUGGCUAAAGACACCACACACUUUACAUAUAGGACUUGAAUGAACUAAGCUAGAGUUGACCUGGAAACCUCGUUCCUGAGGAGUAUCACUCACAAUAUCUGAAGCCACCCACUGAUCUAAGUCAUUCUUGAACACGAUUAUGAGUGUUUUCAUACAUAUGUGAUGCAUUGAGUAACUGAAUGGAUCCCAUCUGGGAGAUAUAUAAAGUGGACACUGAAGUGACUCAUCAGGCAGCUGCAGAGAAUACACAGAUGAGAAUGGCAGGGAACUCCACCAUGAAGAUGCUGAGCAUCAUCCACACCAUUUCCAGAAGAUGGAAAAAGCCACAUGACUGUGGAACACCACAAAAUUGAGGAAGAGUUUGAAGCUCACGGCUGCCAGAGUGAAACCUUGGGCUCUGGUAUUAGCUGCCUUGUACAUGGCUGAUUGGAACACAAAGGAAAAUAAUCUUGUAAGUUGUUGAUGAAAACAAGACUACUUGAAAUUUUAAUAUGAAAAACAUCCUUCAUUGUCUGGCCUAUCAAAUAUUUAAUGGUUCUAAACUUCAAGUUAUUCUGAGAACAAGAUAGGAUAAUAAUGUAUAAGUCACAAAAUUAAAAUUGUCAAGUGGGUGAUGUAUGAUGAAGUGUAUAAGCACAUGCACAGAAAAAAAUUAUACAACUUAAUUGACAUUAAUAAAUAAAUGAGGAGUUCCAGAAGAGUCUUUGUUGGCCUGUGACUAUGUUAGUCAACCUGAAAUCAAUCAAAAGGGCAACUGGACAUUCCAAUCUCUGGUGGGGGUUAGGGGCUUGUUAAUAGCAAGCAGCUAGCAGUAGACACAGGGAAGAACACACACAUACGUUAACCCAAGCCAAAAAUAAAAUCAUCAAAAAACAACCUGAAGCAAUUUCGAAAAUAAAGAUAAUAGUAAUGAUGUCAGAAACAGCAGACUGUGAUUAGGGAACCAGGGCGCCUUCAUGACUUGAUCAUUUUGGGACCCUUCUUUCUUCAGAACCUUUGAUGCAUCUUCCUCCUAUAUCACUUCCUGUUCUCAGUCCAUUCUGUUCACACUUCCUAUGUCACUUCCUAUUCUGGGUCCUCUGUGUAUACUCACUCUGUCUUAGUACUUCACAUCCCUUAUCCUCCAUCCAAUCAAAAAUGCUUCUCAGAAGUGCCCAUUCUACAUCUCUUAAGCAUACAUGUUGUCUAGUCUUGAAGCUCUGCACGGCAAGAUGUCAUUUUACACUUUCCUGCUUAGCUCUCAAUACUAACCCUCCUAAAACUUCAAUGACAGGGUACAGAGUGAGCUGUAUGCAGCCAUGCAGGUACCAAGUGUUCCCUGAAUGUUGUUAACCUCAUUCUUCUUCUAAUGUUCUUGUUUAAUGUGUCUGCUUUCCUGUGCACAUUUGGUUCAAUUCCCUGUUAACUUUAGAAAUCUUGGGUUCAAUAUUUUCACGCUUUCUAUAGAAGGCCUGUUUCAGCUAACAAAAUGCCUCCACUUGCUUUCUCUGUCUCUAAAUAUCAAGCAUCAGUCAUGUGCUACACAAGUACCACAUCACAGAAGACUCUGGAGUAUUGGAUGGAGGAUCUAAGGCAGUGGUUCUCAACCUUCCUAAUGCUUCAACCCUUUAAUAGAGUCCCUCAUGUUGUGGUGACCCCCAGCCAUAAUGUUAUCUUCAUUGCUACAUUGUAACUGUAAAUGUUCUACUGUUAUGAAUCAUAAUGUAAUCUGUUUACUCACGGUCUUAGGAAACCUCUGUGAAAGGGUCAUGCGACCUUUCAAGGGAUAGUGACCCUAAGGUUGAGAGCCACUGAUCUAGAAGCUGUGUGAUGGAUUCAGGUCAACUUUCAGCUUUGAAGGUAAUGCAUUGUUAUGUGACACUCUUUCUGGACAGAAGGGAGCAAGCACCUGUGUACCCAAGAUGGGAAACUCAAUACAAGCAGAAGUAAGAGUUCCAUCCAAGCCCAAUUUAUUGAACUAACAGGUGUAUUAGGAUUUCUUACCAUAACAUGAGUGAAGGGUUGCUUAUAGUAGCAGAAAUUACCCAAAGUCAGCUGCAUCAACAAAGCACACUCCAGCAUGGGUGACAGCUUACAAAGCUGGGAACCUGGAGCACAUUGUUUAGGUGCAGGCAGCUCAACGGGUCAAUGGGUGUCCUUUCCAGGCAGCUCAGUUGAUCUGAGAGGGUCUUCACUAGUCCUAAAUAUUUAUAUACACUUAGGAACGGAGAAGCCUGCCUUUGAGUUGUUGAUUUUCUGCGCUCAGUGGGCUUACCUGCUGGCUGGACUGUUUCACCUCCCUUUAGGGCACCCUGUGUCUUAAGGAGGUUUUAUUGCAGACGACAUUACUACACAGCACAGCUUGUGCUUCAGUUAGGGCACUUGAAACAGGAAGGUAGGGAUUGUGGAUCCCUUUGGACACAUUGCUGAUUUCAAGUACAAUACCUUCACCCCAGCAACAGACUUUUGAGACACAAAGAGUAAUUUAAAACCAACACACAAGGUUAUCAUUAAAAUCUCUACCACACUAUUAUACUGUCACUUGACAAAACUGGAAACAAUUGUUUGUUUUGCAAUGAUUUAUUACAGAAA
rnacentral:lncRNA from 1 species